ACUUAUCUAAUAUAAAAAGUAUAUUUGACUUCCAAUCAAAAAGUUUGAUCAACAAGAUAAGUA
rnacentral:tRNA from 1 species